GAAAUCUUUAAAGAGUUAAAAGUGCAUUUAUAUUUAAUUAUUUUGAUACACAUAUAUGUGUCUCUUAUUUUUUUCAUUUCAUAAUGAUUUUUAGAAGGUUAACCACAACUGCUUCUGUAACUGCUUCAAGUCAUCAACGAAGGAGCCUUAUAGAUCUAGAAUUCAUUAGAAUAAUAUAAUUAAAUAACAAUAUAUAUAUAUAUAUAUAUAUAUAUAUAUAUAUAUAUAUAUAUAUAUUAUAAAUGAUGAAAGUGAGUGAGAAGAAUGGAGACACGAAGGAAAGAAAAUCAAAAAUAUGAAAAAUUAAGAAAUAUUUGAAAUAAUUUAUAUAGAUUAACAAAAAUUAAAAAAAUGAAAAGUGAAAUUGAGAAGUUAAAAAUGUCAACCUAUAUAAUUGACUUUACACUUACAAUCUACUUUUUUUUUAAUAUUUGUAAAUAAGAUAAUGAAUAAAAACUGAUAAUUAAAUAUGAAGAUACUAAUUCAAAACAAAAAGGAAACCCAUGCUUGUUUUUACGUUACCAAAACAUAUCUUUUUGAUGGAAAAAAAAAAAUAAUGUGAAAGUUAUAAAAUAAAACAUCUCAUAACCUUAUAACUCGGAAGUUGAGAGUUAUAAGAUAAAACAAAUAAUAACAAUAAAUCUUGAGGAAUGCAAAGAGCGUUAAAUCUAGUAAUUAAAUUUAGAGUUGUAUUUGAAGUUUACGAAUCUCUACUCAUACAACAAUAUUAAAAAAACUCAAAAUAUAAUUAAGCUAAGUACAAACCUCUAGUAUUCCACAAGCUCUAUUGAUUUCUUGUCAUCACCAAAGUUUGCAUACAAAUAUAUAAUAAGAGGAGACACAGAAGACGUGGGUAGAUCUUACAUCAUGUAAAAUGAAUGAAUAAGUCAAAAAUAGAUGACCAUGCAUUCAUGAAACAUAUUUAACAUGAUCACAAAAAUCACGACAAUAUAAUAUCACAUGAUAUAAAUGGAUGAUCUUUCAAUGGUCAAAAUGCAGUCCUUGAAAUUGAUGUGGUGCCAAACUAAUGUAGGAAAACUUGUAUGGAGAGGUUAUGCUUUAUGUCAUAUGCAAAUUGCAACACCCUCUAGAUUAUAUGUAUUGUGUGCAAUCUCGCAAAGACAAAACUAUCAAGUAAUCGGUCAAUAUAGUAUAUAGUUGUACGAAGACAUCCUAUAGACAACACCCCAAAGUGUAAAACUCAAUAAAUCACUCUCCUCCCAUGAAGUCUAAACUUAAUUUCUAAAUUUUUUAGAUGAUAUAUCAAACACCUAAGUCUUAAUAAAUUUUUUAUAUGAUUAUAAAGCUAUUAAGGAAAUUGAAAGUUCGAAAGAAUUAUAUAAAAAAUAUGAGAAAAAUCAUAUAUAAGAAAAACAACAUUAGGAUGAGUAAAGAAAAUUAAAGGCUAUGUUUAACAAAGAAAUGAGUUUCAACUUAGGUGUUACCUAUGACAUCUACAAAAAACCCUAAUGCAAUGCUUGACUAGCUUGAGGAUAGAAGUGAGACACAAAUAUGUUUCACAAUCAUAGAAUGACUUAUAAAUCUGUUCUGUUGUAAUAUAAAAUACUAAUAAAGAAAUGUUAUUUAAAAAUAAUAGAAGAUUUUGUAUAACAUGAAAAUAUGAGAAUGAACUUACCACUAGUGGUGAUUAAAGAAGAAAUAGGGACACUAAAAGAAUCAUAGUGUAAUCAACCUUGAGAGUUUUAGCCAUUUUGUUCUACCUUUUUAUCUGACAAGUAGAGAAUUGUUUGAUCACCUUAUAAUAAAAACCUAAUGUUAUGUUUACUUCAAUUAAAAAGUUUUUAGGAGUUAUGUUAAUGCAAGAAACCCUUCAUUAUAAUAAUUAAUAAGUGACUCUAAUGUACGUCGAUGUAUCAUGUUUGUCCCUUCAACAAAUGAAAUUGAUCACUUGACCUUAGAAUAGAUCUUCAUAUAAAAAUAUUAUUUGUAAUUAGAGUUCAUUCUUGUUUCUUUUUUUCUUAUUUUUCCUUUCGUACUAUAAUGAGGACCAAAAGAAACAUUAUACUUCAAUUAAAUACAUAUUAGGACACAUUGAACUAAACCAAAAACCCUUUUUAUAUUUAAAUCAUUAUUAGGUGUCUUCAGACACCUUCUUCCCCUAUGUCCCCUUUGCGGUGAUCUAACUCUAGGUUUGCGCUUGUCCAUGUAUGGCCUAUCAAUCGAUCACAAUGUUGAUGCAAUCAUACAUUCAACUUCAUCCACUCCGACUUUCAAGCAAAUUUUCACUCAAGCUCAUCAUAACUCUUUUGAUGUACCUUUUACACCCAGAAGAGAUCCCAAUAUAAGUUAUUUGAAUUCGAUAUAGUCAAAUUUUCUCGACUACUAUUGAGGUCGCUUAUCCAUUUUAAUGCGAAAAGGGUAUCGACUAAAAGUAAAAAGAUUAGUCGACUAAGGUUAAGGUAGUUAGAAAUUAUAUUAAACUAGAUACUAAUUUGCUAGUUAUGCGGUAGAAUUUAAUAUAUUACUGAAUAUAAAAUAAUAAUAAUAAUAAUAAUACAUAAUUUAAAAGUAAUGUUAAUUUUGUUUUAUAGUAGAAUACAUUCAAAUGUUUAUGUACUUAAAGGUAAAUAUAUUUUUGAAUAAUUAUAUAUAAGUUAAGUUUCCUUUAGUACAAAAAGAAAAAGUAAAACAUUGAUGACUAAUACAAUUCAUGCAAAAUAUAUUUAAAUCAGAAAUUGUUUUAUUCAAGCUUUUUGAUUUCAUUGAAGUGGUUCUUCUAAUAAUAUGUUUCUUAAAUAGUUAUGUAUUUCUUUAUUGUUAAAGUUAUACAUUUAGCUACAAUGUUUCUUCAUUUUAUAUAAUUUGUAUUAGUUUUGAAGCAUUAAAUUUAUAAAUUUAUGUAUCUUUUCACGUUUUCCAUUUUAUAUGUUCAUCCUAAUUUUGUCAAUCCCACAGUCGAUCUAAGCAUGCACUAAAUAAUAUUAUGUGUUUUGUGAUACAUUAUAAUAUUCAUUCGUGGGUGAUAGUUUGUUAAAUUCAAAAUAUUGAAACAAUUUAUUCGCAUGUGCGUUGGAAUUUUUCAAAUAAUUAUUUGACAUGGUCAAGAAACUUCAAUAGUGAUUGAAAAAAAUUAUAAGCAAAAAAAAUUUGUGAAUGUUUAAGACAUAGAUUUUGAAUAAUUAUAUAUAAGCUAGGUUUGCUUUAGUACAAAAGAAAAAGUAAAACAUUGUUAACUAAUACAAUUCAUGUAAAAUAUAUUUAAAUGUGGAAUUGGUUUAUUCAACCUUUUUGAUUUUAUUGAAGUGGUUUUUCUAAUUUUAUUGAAGUGAUUUUAUUGAGUUGUACAUCUUCAUAGAGAGUUUCUAGUUUUUCACAAAUUAUAUACGCCAUUUACUUGAGAGAAUAGAGUGAGUAAUGUUAACUAUUGAUCAUCAAAUGAAUGGUUGUUAUUUUGUAUACAUGAUCAAUCGGAUAUAAUAUCAAUCAUCGAAUCACUCACUUCACCAACUACUCAUUGAAUCACUCACUUCACCAACUGCUCAUUGUCACUAGAGAAGAAAAAGAAAGAUUUUGGUUCCGAUGAUGGUAACAGAUGUGUAGUAAACUUGCUAUGUUUGAUCUAUAAAUUUAGUAUGUUAUUCCUACCGCUGAGUUUAUUAUUUUAAUAUACAGUCUUAGUAGUUUUAUUUUCUCUGAAAGUUACUUUGACAUAUCAACGUCAGUGGAAGGUUGUUAUAAGGUGGUUAUUGUUGAUUUAUGUCCCUGUUGUUAGUUAGGAGACUUACCCAUUAAUUAUUUUGGUGGAAGUUUUUACUGGACUAGAUCUCGUGGUUUUUAUUCUCUCAAUUUUCUGUCAAUUAUUAUUGCUCUUGAAAUUGUGUUUUCUGUUUGACCAUUUAUCUGCAUAUGUGAGGGAAGAAAUAUGUUGCUUCUUUAUAAAAGAUCUAAAUGAGUUAGACCAGUUUAGUUUUGUGAUUUUUUUUUAUUAAUUCAUAUAAUUAAUUUACAACUUAAUUUAGUACUAAACAAUUAAACAUGAAUUAGUAAUAAAAUAAAUUAAAUACAAUUAAUAAAAUUAAAAAAUUGAUAAAAAUAAAAGUUCAAAAACCGUUCAAAAACUCAAACAAUUGAAAUCUUUAAAGAGUUAAAAGUGCAUUUAUAUUUAAUUAUUUUGAUACACAUAUAUGUGUCUCUUAUUUUUUUCAUUUCAUAAUGAUUUUUAGAAGGUUAACCACAACUGCUUCUGUAACUGCUUCAAGUCAUCAACGAAGGAGCCUUAUAGAUCUAGAAUUCAUUAGAAUAAUAUAAUUAAAUAACAAUAUAUAUAUAUAU
rnacentral:lncRNA from 1 species